rnacentral:rRNA from 1 species
AAUGAACGCUGGCGGCAGGCCUAACACAUGCAAGUCGAGCGAGGACUUCGGUCCUAGCGGCGGACGGGUGAGUAACGCGUGGGAAUAUGCCCUUUGGUACGGAAUAGCCUCGGGAAACUGGGAGUAAUACCGUACGUGCCCUUCGGGGGAAAGAUUUAUCGCCAAAGGAUUAGCCCGCGUUGGAUUAGGUAGUUGGUGGGGUAAUGGCCUACCAAGCCGACGAUCCAUAGCUGGUUUGAGAGGAUGAUCAGCCACACUGGGACUGAGACACGGCCCAGACUCCUACGGGAGGCAGCAGUGGGGAAUCUUAGACAAUGGGCGCAAGCCUGAUCUAGCCAUGCCGCGUGAGUGAAGAAGGCCUUAGGGUCGUAAAAGCUCUUUCAGUGGGGAAGAUAAUGACGGUACCACAGAAGAAACCCCGGCUAACUCCGUG